CGAAAGCGUCGGCCCGGCGGCUGUCAGAAGUGGUUCUACGUGAACGAACACAACUUUCAUUACUUAUGAAGUGUUCUCUCGCUCGUCACAAACGCAAUGUGUGCCCGUAGGACGUCCGGAGGAGCAACACAUCAGUUUAGAGGGAAUCCGUCAAAAACUCACAGACAUCUGAAAAGAGGCUUCAACUAAACAUCACAAAGGCAAACAUUUUGGAGCCAAUUUGGGGAGUCGUCUGAUUCUACUCUUAGCUCACAACACAGCUGAUUGCAUCGCCGACCCCCAGAAACGGCGCCGCGCCAAAAGACACAUCUGGGGAAAAUAUUCUUCC
ensembl:lncRNA